rnacentral:lncRNA from 1 species
UUCACAAGUGUCACCAUGUCUUGUUUACAUUUGGCGGAGGAGGUCUGACACCCGCUCACACAUCGCUCCAGACCUCCGUGUUCACUUCUUAAGCGUUUAACAGCGCAUGUGAGGAAGCUUCAAGGACCAACAACACAUCUCAGUAUGACUAGUUCAGAGUCAACUACAGUACACAGACACUCCAGGCUCCUAUAUGAUGCCAUUAAAGGCAACUGGUUAAACAUUGCUGACCUGUGGGAGUGUUGUAAGACUUGGAAGU